rnacentral:tRNA from 1 species
UAAAGCUCAGUGGUACAGCACUUGCCUUUUAUGCAAGAGGUCCCAAGUUCAAUCCUUAGUA